GUGCUUGCUUUGGCAGCAUAUAUAUUACAAUUAAAACAACACAGAGAAGAUUAGCAUGGCCUCUGAGCAAGGAUGACGCACAAAUUCAUGAAGUGUUUCAUAAUGUU